AUACGUAGGGUGCAAGCGUUAUCCGGAAUUAUUGGGCGUAAAGGGCUCGUAGGCGGUUCGUCGCGUCCGGUGUGAAAGUCCAUCGCUUAACGGUGGAUCCGCGCCGGGUACGGGCGGGCUUGAGUGCGGUAGGGGAGACUGGAAUUCCCGGUGUAACGGUGGAAUGUGUGGAUAUCGGGAAGAACACCAAUGGCGAAGGCAGGUCUCUGGGCCGUUACUGACGCUGAGGAGCGAAAGCGUGGGGAGCGAACAGGAUUAGAUACCCUGGUAGUCCACGCCGUAAACGGUGGAUGCUGGAUGUGGGGCCCGUUCCACGGGUUCCGUGUCGGAGCUAACGCGUUAAGCAUCCCGCCUGGGGAGUACGGCCGCAAGGCUAAAACUCAAAGAAAUUGACGGGGGCCCGCACAAGCGGCGGAGCAUGCGGAUUAAUUCGAUGCAACGCGAAGAACCUUACCUGGGCUUGACAUGUUCCCGACGGUCGUAGAGAUACGGCUUCCCUUCGGGGCGGGUUCACAGGUGGUGCAUGGUCGUCGUCAGCUCGUGUCGUGAGAUGUUGGGUUAAGUCCCGCAACGAGCGCAACCCUCGCCCCGUGUUGCCAGCGGAUUAUGCCGGGAACUCACGGGGGACCGCCGGGGUUAACUCGGAGGAAGGUGGGGAUGACGUCAGAUCAUCAUGCCCCUUACGUCCAGGGCUUCACGCAUGCUACAAUGGCCGGUACAACGGGAUGCGACGCGGCGACGCGGAGCGGAUCCCUGAAAACCGGUCUCAGUUCGGAUCGCAGUCUGCAACUCGACUGCGUGAAGGCGGAGUCGCUAGUAGUCGCGAAUCAGCAACGUCGCGGUGAAUGCGUUCCCGGGCCUUGUACACACCGCCCGUCAAGUCAUGAAAGUGGGCAGCACCCGAAGCCGGUGGCCUAACCCCUUGUGGGAUGGAGCCGUCUAAGGUGAGGCUCGUGAUUGGGACU
rnacentral:rRNA from 1 species